UGUGUGACUGAGGAAAUGACCUCUGGAU
rnacentral:piRNA from 1 species